rnacentral:misc_RNA from 1 species
UUGAAUUCCAAUUGGAUGAGAUAGCUGCUGGCUUUCGGGCAUGUGCACGUCUUUUUGCCUUCUGUCAACCUUUCUCUUUCACACACAACCUCACCCUGUGCACCUAUUGUAGGUCCUCGCAAGAGGAUCUAUGUUUUUUCUCAUUUGCAUCAUGUCUAUAGAAUGUUAUCGAAAGACGGUCGCAGCAGGGCUUUUUGAGUCAUUGCGACUGGUCGAUAUAUAAUGAUAAUCCAUACA